UGCCGCUGAAAUAAAAAAGACAUGCGCAGUUGAAAACGGGACCCGGCCAGCUAGAAAAAGGAAGGUCUGGGGGACAGAAAAACAGCAGAAAGACAUGAUUUUUCAUCCACUGGGCAUUUAGGAACCACAGCAAACUUUCCUCCCGGGACCAUCAGACACAACUGGACAACGCAGCCUGGACAACGAAAGCGGAAGCCGGCCCUCGGAGGACAGGUCGUUCCUGAGCGUUGGCUACGUCGUGGUUCCUGACCUCGAGGUUCUGGAAUCCGAGAGGUGAGAGGGGCCAUAAGUGUCACACUGGUGUCCUGGCUGGGGGCCUGGAGAGGAGGACAGCCUCCAACAGCUGCCACCUGCCCCAAAUGCCCACCUGAAAUGUGUCUCUCAUCCUGGCCUCGCCUUGUCAUAACCGUGGACUCCAAGGUGGCCCCCACACUGGCAUGGGUGGUUCCCUGUCUGGAGGUGGAGGAGGGACCAGCAGAAGUGUGGUCCCUGGGAGGCAGCUGUGAGGGGUCCUCUGAGACCUGAAGGCCCAGGGGGCCUCAGAAGCCUCUGUCCCCCGGGCAGGAGUGACAGCUGCUGACCUGGCCAUGGCCCCAGUCAUUCGGCUGGCUCUUCCAAUGCACCUGCUACAUGCAGGCACUGUGCUGGGUGACAAGAAGGAGAAGGUCUGCCCCUUGAUCGAUGUCACUAAAGGGAAGGGACAGCCCUACCCCCUGGGAUACGGGAUACAAGGUCAGCCCUGGGGCCAAGGCUGAGAGCCUGGCACGCGGUAGGGCUUCAGCAAAGGUGAAUCCACUGGCUGAGUGGAUACACGAUAAGGCUAAAAAGCACAGACUUUGAGGCCAGAGGGGCCUGAGUCCAAGGUCCUGAUUCUUCCCUUUCGGGGCUGGGUGGCCCCAGGAUAUCACUUCACCUCUCUGGGUCCCAGGUUCCUAUUCUGUGAAAUGCAAAGCUUAAUGUUAGUUUGGUAGGAUUUUUGUGAGGGCUCGCGGGGAGACGGCGUUCGCAAGGUGCUUGGCUCAGAGUAGGAGCUCAGCAGAUGUGCUCCAGCUGGCCCCACCCCCUGGCCGCAGGGCUCCAGGCUCACCUGUGGGCGGCUGAGGCCCCGCCCUCCUCCUCCUGGCAGCUCCAGCCCCCAGCAGGUGACUGCAGAGGCUCUGGGUGCCAGCCCUGGGAGCGUGGGAACUUCCUGCCGCCCUGUUUGUCUUGGGCUGCUGGGGGAGGGGCUGCCACCCUCUGUCAGCUCCAGCGAGGCUCCUGCCAGGUCGCCCAGCGUGAAAAGGAAGAAUUGUUCCCGUGACCUUUGCUUUCCUUGUCAGAGGUGAUUUCAGCAAGUACCGCCCCUCUCCCCUAAAAGCCAGGCCAGCCUUGGUUCCCACCGCCUAAGGGACCACCUAUGUACCUGGGCAGGCAGGGCCACUGGGAGAACCGGCAGCCUUGCCCCUGCUAGCGGGCGUGAGGCCCCACGCCCCUCUGUCCCCACCCCUGAGCCAGGAGCUGGCCGGGGUUCCCUCCUUAUGUCAAGAUCCCCCCACCCCUCACUCGGGCCUCGUUUCUCUUUGCUGAGUGAAUACACAAGACUGAAAAUCACAGACUUUGAAGGCAGGACCUUGCAUGGGACCCAGCCCAAGGUCAGAGGCUCAGUCAAGCUCCCCACCCCCCCAGAGCAAGGCACCCUCUCCGCCUCUUGCUUCUACUCCACCCUGCUCUGGCAGGGUUAGUGCCAGUUUCUAGAGGUGGGCUACAGGUCUCCACCUGGUUAAAAAAGCUCUCUCCACUGAGUUUUUAUCACUCCGCCGCACCCUCCUCCACCCCCUGGUCAUGGUUCCCAGCCCGGCACCGACUGCACUUUCCCUGCUUUGACAUGGCUGGUGGCCCCAGCGUGUCACCCUGGCAGCCGCGGAGCCUUCUGUAGAUGAGCCAUGCGGUGGCCACUGCAGGCAGCACAGCUGAGGUUAAGGGCAGCCUCGGAUCACGGAGGCUCCGUUUCCGAUUUUCCAGAAGAUGCUGAUUGUUAAUGAUCGUUGUUCUUUCCUUCUGGGGCGUAAAAAAGCAGGGUCAGCUCACAACCGGAAGAGCAGCAGGUCAAGGUUCCCAGAGUAUGAAAUGUCAGCCUCCGGCGGCAAUGACAUUCACCCAGAGGCACUAAAAAUAGACGCCAAACAGAAGCAUCAAGUCUCUGGAGGCUGGAGAAAUAAGACAGGGAAGCUGAAGCCCAAAGGAGGGGGAAGGGUUUGGCCAAGGAAAAGAUCAAAAAUGGCAGAUCUGAGAUGCAGACCUGGGUACAUGUUAUUCUCAAACCUUGCUUUCUACAUGGAGCAAUCUGCCUCAACAUAGUGGCUGUGCUGAGAUCGGAAAACAGGUCCCAAGACUCCAGUCCAGUAUUUCUUCCACAACUGACUCAACACAUGGUAGGUGAAAGAAGGGACAGAUGGGUAAGUAGAUGGAUGAUGGGUGGAUGGAUGAUGGAUGGAUGGAUAGUUGGUCAGA